rnacentral:lncRNA from 1 species
UUUUAACUGAUAUAAAUUGUUUUAAAUAUGAAAUACUCUAACAUUUAAUUUGCAUUUGCAAACAGACUUAUAUUUUAUGAAUUAUUUCGCUAAAAUUAUUCGGGCAAGUGAAUUUGAUACAUAGUUAAACGAAUAACAAAAUUUUUGGACUGGUUGCCGCAUGUUUCUUUUUAUUUCACAGCAUUUGUGACCAUGUUUACUUUAUUAAUUUAAAAAAUUGAACAAUAUAACUUUAAAAUGAAUACUUUUAGGAUAUGAACUUUGAAACAUGUAUAUUUGAUACAAAAAAUAGAAUUAAUACGAUUACAGCAAUUUAUUCAUUUUGUGGAAAUGUAUCGUGGUAAAUGUGCUUUAACUAUAAUUGCUAGUUAAAUAAUGUGCUUGUUCUCACAAAAAAAGGUAUGAGAACACUAAAUCGAAAUCAACAAAAUCAUAUAUGCAAUAAAAGUAAUUACGUAGUGUAAGCCUUACUUAUUCGGCUUAUUCUAGGAUAUAUUAUUAAAUUGUUGUUAUGCCUCUUAAUUUUUAGUCGUAUCUGCAUUUUACUAUUAAGAAAAUUUACGUGUAAAAAAUUCAAAUAUCAUUAGAUACUGGCAAAGCGUACGUGCUUUUAAUAAAACAUACAUCUCGUAUAGAAACUUCAAAUGGGUUGAACAUAACUAUUUCUUUUUUCUUAAUCUUAAACUAAAAUCUUCAGAAAUACGUUUAAACAGGUGCUAGGAGAUAUUUACCAUGACACCGGUUUUUGUAACAGGUGCGUGUAUAAACCUAUCAUGACACCGGUUUCUGGAACAGGUGCGUGGAGAAACUUAUCGUGACACCGGUUUUUAUACUCUACAGACUGCAGCUGACAUUAAAUUGCAGAAACAAAACACAAAAUAUACAUGAAAAUGUUAGCCAGGCAAUUUUUCUUUAUUGUUAACAUUAAUCAAUAACCAUUAUUGUAAAUCUCACAUUAUGACUGUUUUCAUGCGUCUUACAAUACUAAAGUAUGCUUAAACUAGUGAACCUCACGAUAUAAUUGUUCUCACAGGUCUCAGAACACUAUAUUUUGAUAACAAUAAUUUCAAAUGUGAAUAACAGCAUAGGUAUUCUGUUCUCAACAGAAUUAAAGAAACAAAUGUUACGUUGCGGUUCUAUCUUGUAUUUUCUACUAGCCUUUUACUAUGCAGAAAAUAUAACUUUUUGCAUUAGGAACUUAACCAACACCGAACAGUUAUAAUAAUAAAUGUAUGAACAAUAACUUUAAUUGAAGAUAUUUACAAAACAAUACAGUGUAUAUGAAUAUACACCUUGGUGAAGUCAUUUGGAUUUAUCAACGUCAUCAUACAGCGCUACUUUUCUUACCAAUCUCUUGUUAAAUCAUUUUAUGCUAUAAAAUAGCAAAAUAUUCUCUAAGAUAGGACCUUCGUUUAAGCCCUGAAACAAUUGUCUAACAGUUAAGGUCUAAAACAAUGUCUUUAGCAAACCUUGCAUUAUGUCAUUUUUGCUUUUUUCAUUCUCAGCCAUGUGACUUAAUAUCAUUUGUAGAUAUUUUUGUUUGUCAUCAGUAUCAUGUUUCAUAACAUGAUUAGGUGUUUUUGUGUGUCUUGUUACAUUUUCAAUAACCAUGUUACUUUGAUUAUUUUCAGACUCGUUUGACAAAGUCUGUGUAUCCAUGUCAUCCGUCUCUAUGGACUGAUCAGAAUGCGAAGCACCUGAUUCCAUGCGGGAUUCAUUAUCAAGCAUCAGAAACAUCAGAUUCAUCGUUACUGCUUGAGCUAGAAUCAUCUGGAGGUAUUACAUAGUUAACCCUUCGUCUUGGAUAACCUUUGACAGCUUUACGUUCGGGCCAUUCAGCAAUGUCAGCAAGCCUUAUCUGAUCUGCAUGUACUUGAACAACUGAAUUGUCAAGCUGGUUCUUAAUAAGGACCUCCCUAAAGGCAGAACUUGUAAAUUCUGACCCUCGGUCAUGAAUUAUCUGGAGAGGACAUCCAUAUCUAGGAUAUAUCUCGUUCAAAAAAUCUGGUGGUCGUGAAAAGAAAUCAGCAAUAACAUUUGCCUUCCCUGGAAGAUACUCUAUCUUACAGUUGUAACCACUAAUAGACAAUGCCCAUAACUGAAUUUUCUUGUUUUGCAUUUCACUUUUUAAUAAAUACUGGAGUGGAGAA